GUUUUUAUCUUCUUCAUCUUCUACUUCUUCUUUUUCACAUCAAGAGCAAAUAAGGAGCUUUGGAGUUUUCAAACGCAAUUUAAAACGUGCACCCCUUGGAUUUUGGCAUGCACUAAGAAAAUCCUCACUGGCUCUUACAAAAGAUAGUGCUUUGAUUCUCAAUGGAUUGUGCUACUUUUUGUUUCAAAGGUAGGGGUUUUUCUUCUUUGAAUCUCUUGUUUUUGUUUGUGCUAUUUGGACUUUAAUUCCUUCCAGUUUCUUUGAUUUGUGAAUUCGUUAAAUGGGUAUUUCAUAUGCUGGUAAAUCCUAAAGGUAAUGAUUUUACACAAGGCGCAUGCAUGGUUUGAAAUGUCAUAUUUACUCUUUGUUUAAUCUUUGCAUAAUGAGUUGCAUAUAAAAUUUGAAUGCCUAUGAAUGAUUUUUGAAUAUUAAAAAUGUAUUUAGUUCAUUCAAGUUCUGAUUUUUAUGAAAAAUCAAGUCUUCAAUUGAGUUUCUAAAAUAGCCCAUCAAGUGUUUGUGAAAAGAACCUUAAAUUCCUGCGAAGGUACUUCUGGCCUGUUUUAUUGAGACUUUUCGACACUGCUACAUAACCCAUUUGCUUUGCUUAUCAUUUUUAACUUGAAUAGGGAUUUCUUAGCUUUUCAAAGAGACCAAAAUCUCUGAAUUCCAUCACUAAAUGAUUUUUGUACGAAUGUUUGAUCGGAGCCUGCCGAAACUACAAGUUUUCUGAAAACAUGUUUCUGGCCUAUUUUAUUAAGACUUUUCGAAACAGCUAUACAACUGGUUACUCUGGUUUAUAAUUUUUAAGUUAAAGAGAGAUCUCUCAGCUUUUCAACAAGACCAAACUUGCCCAUUUCCAUCGCCUAAUGAAUUUUCUAUUGUACACUACCAAAAACAACAAUUUUUUGGAAACAAAGUUACUGUCCUGUUUUUUCGAAACUUUUACGCACAGCUGUGCAUAUUAUUGCUACUGCUCAUCAUUUUUAAGUUAAAGAGGAUUUUCUCAUCUUUCAAAAGAGACCAAAUUCGUCAAAUUCCAUUGCAUAACGAAUUUUGUGUGAUUUUUUGAUUAUAGACUAUCAAAACUGCAAUUUUGCUGAAACCGCAAUCCCUGUCCUGUUUUGUCGAUACUGUUACGCAUAACUAUGCAUCUCAUUGCUACUUCUUAUAAUUUUUAUGUUAAAGAGUGCUUUCUUAGCUUUCCAUCAAUGUGACACUGGCCGAGUUCCGUCGCUUAAUGAAUUGUAUACGGAUUUUCGAUUAAAGAUGGUCAAAACUGGAGAUUUUAUGAAUAUUCAUCUCAUGUUUAUAUUCCUUACUGUUUAUGCUCAAUGAUUUGAGAAGUUGCAUUCCUUUAAGUUAUCUGAUGAUUGAAAUGUUCUCUUGUAAACUUUGCUAUUAAGCUUUGAUGGAUUAAGUUUGUUGAUUUAUAAACAUGACUCUCAGUAGAUGUAUGCUUAAUCGAAUUUUGAGGAUGCUGCCAAUACUUACUUUUGUGUAAGUUUUAGUUAUGGAUUUACGAUAUUUUCAUAACUUGGUUUUAUGGAUGUUUCCUUGACGAAUACGGAUUUGAUUUGGAAACUAGUGUACUCUACUAUAGGACCGUCAGGCCUUAAUUGUCAACCCAUCUACGGAUGGCAACCCAGAAGACCGUUUGUUUGAUAACGGUGGCUGGUAUCGGACUACCCUGACGUUGGCGCUGGCCUUGUAAAUAGUGGAGUAAAUAUUUAUUUGAAACGAAGUGAAUGGCAGCUUGCAAAUGUUUGGGAAAGAAUGCUUUACAAGGUUCGUGGCGUACAACAUGGAAGAUCAGAUUUUACAAGCUCAACAAGGGAGACUGAGACUCAAGAUUGGCAAACAGUUUCGAGGAAAAAAAAUUCGAAGAGCGAGCAUGUUCACUCAGGGAAAGAGAUCAUGAUUGAUUGUAAGUUUAAAUUUUUUAGUAUUUCAUCGAGAUCUAGUGGUGUUUUUUUGAUGAGAAAACAAGGGAUACAAAGAAGGUUCUUCAAGUUUUGAUCAGUAAUGAAGGAGUUAUUUGGCUGAGUAAUAUAAUGAAAAGGGAGUCAAAAAAGAAUUUCUAUGGCAAAUGGUAUUGGAUCUUUCACAGAGGUAACGAACAUAUACUUUUUUCCAGGGAUCAAAACAAGUAUGGAGAGUUUCUCCGUGUUUCUUAUUCAUGUGAAAAGAUAAAGCAUUAGAUGUGUUUUCCAGCUGAAAAUGAUUCAUCCAGAUGGAUGCCUUUUGUUUAUGGCUUUUCUGAUAUUUUUUUUGCAAAAGAAGGUUCCAUCUUCACAGAUUGAACCACAAUCUGAGGCUGCACUGACCGAGUCACAAUCUGCUGAAGAUGUUUCACAUGUGCAGAUUGAGUCGCAAUCUGUUCAUCAAGUCGAAUUAGUUGCAUAGUUUGAGUCGCAAUUUGCUGUUACUGAUUUCUCACUUGAGAAAUCAACACAAGAGAGUUGGAAUCAGGCUAUUAUCAUAGAAACAUCUAUUGAGCUAAGAAGGCCUUUUUCCUUCUUAUUUGGACAAUAAAAAGGUUCUGUUAAACAAUGGUCAUUGGGAUUUUGAUGGUAUUUUCAUUAGAUUGAUACCUUGGUGGAAUGCAACUGUUGCUCUACCCUCUAUUUCCUCAGAAGGUUUUUGGAUGGAGGUUAAAGGUGUUCCGUUUGAUUUAUGGGGAAAUAAAUUUUAUCAAGAAUUAGGUAUGAUGUUUGGAGGUUUAAUGGAGGUUCAUGCUUCAACACUGUCGUGGAGCGACGCCUCAGCCAUUAGAGUCAAGGUCAGGAAUUUCAAUGGGCUUAGUAUUUCAUUCGUUUUUUGAUUUGAAGGUUCUUUCUUUCCCAUUCGGAUCUCUUCAUUUAAGAUCUUUGAUGGUAUUUUUGAUCAAACAAACCAAAAAGUUAUGGUUCAGAAUUUGGAGUGCAUCUCUGUAGAUUCUCCAAUUGAUUCGGUUCCAGCUAUGUCAUUCAAUGUAAAUUGGCCGAAAAAACCUCGAAAUAUUCUUAGACCACGUGAUUCUCGCCGGAAAAAUAUGUUUCGGAAAUUUUCUUUCGCUGAAAAAGAAAAGGCAGUUAAUGAUAAUUCGAAUUUUGAAUUUACCUACAAUAAAAAUGGAAAAAGGAUACGGACUUCAGAUUCGGAUUCGGGUACUAAUACUUUAAAUUCGGAAUCAUCUGAUUAGGUUAAUGGUAUGAUUUUGACACGUGUGGAAGAUUCAAACUCAGCAACUUCUUCAGUUUCAAAAGAAACUUCGACAAUGGCUAUAUUACCCAUUUUUCAAAAUGAAGAUGAAGUUAAUGAGUAUCUAAAAAUAUCAGUCUCUAUUUCUUACCUACAAAUGAUAGAUUCUUCAGGAACUUCUUUACCUGUUCCCCCAUCUACUAGUCUCUUCCACAGUAAGAAUUUUGAUUCUCCAAGAAGAUUUGAUUUCUUUCUGAGUAGUAAUGAAAAAUGGAGUACUUUGAAAUUAAAAGUUGAUCCUCUUCUGAGACAAGAUUUCGAGAAGGUUCUAAUGCAAAUGGUUUGUAUUUGUCCAAAAUUGGAUAUACACUUUAAAGGAUCGCAAGUGGAGAUUGAUGAUGCGAUGAUUGACACUUUAGGGGAUUCAUCUGUUCAACUUCAAUGUGGAGCAUAAGAAAUUUUGCUAGUUUUUUUCGGUGCUGGUAUUCUGGUUUAUGGAUUUCAAAACAAUUUUUUGGAAUGUUAGGUGUCUUAAUGAUCUGAAUCGCAGAGACAUUAUAAAAAAGUAAAUUGGUGAUUGGAAGCCAAGUAUAGUUUUACUUCAGGAGACAAAGAUUCAGCAAUGUUAUGAUUUUAUAGUUUGGUAAUGUUGGAGUAAUAAAAAUGUUAAAUGGUUGGGUUCUCCUUCUCAAGGAAGUUCAAGUGGAAUUUUAUGUAUGUGGGAGUCUUCUAAGGUUGAAGUUAUUGAUUCUCUUAUUGGGCCUUAUUCAAUUAGAUUGAAUUACAAAACAAUCUCAAAUUAUUUUGAGUGGAUGUUUACAAGUGUGUAUGCACCUUGUGCUUCUAAUGUUGAAGAAGUUAUACUCUUUUAGAGAGAAAUUGAGGAAUUUAGAUGCUUUUGGCAACUUCCUUGACUUGUGGGUGGAGAUUUUAAUGAAAUAAAGUUUACUCAUGAAAGAACCUCAGAUGGAGAUUAUACUGCUGGUAUAUAUGCAAAGAUUUAACAAGUUCAUUUCCAAACAUCACUUGAUUGAUCUUCCUAUGCAUGGUGCUACUUAUACCUGGACAAAUAAUCAGACUCAGAGUAUAAGAAGUCGUAUUGAUAUAAUCCUAAUUUAUGUUUCAUGGGAGAAUUUCUACCCUCAAGUUAUGCAAUAAGCAUUAGCAAGACCCUGCUCUGACCAUAAUCCAAUUUCUUUAAUUUGUAAAGGAGUGAAGCAUGGACCCUAUCCUUUUCGCUGUGAGUUUUUCUGGUUUUCUCAUCCCAAUUUUUUUCCUUUUGUAAAGGAACUAUGGUUGUCUUUCUCUGUUAAAGGAAGUGUUGUCUUUGUUUUUUGUAAGAAGUUGUAGUUGUUAAAGCCAAAAUUGAAGGAAUCGAGCAAGGAGCAUUUUGGUGAUCUGGAAAAAAGGCUAGAAGAAUUAGAAGAUGUUUUUGUGGAAUUGGAUGCUUUGGAAAAUGUCAACAGUGGUCUCACAGAAACUCAAUGGGAGGAGAGAGCUAAUGUUAGACAAGAGUAUUGCAAAUUAACAAUUCUAAGAGCUGAAAAAUUGAGGAGUAGGGCAAGAGUAAUUCACACUAAAGAUUUUGAACAUAAUACUAAAUAUUUGCAUAGAAUUGUUAAUGACAGGAGAAGGAGAAACUACAUUGGCUCAAUAAAAGUUAAUGGCAACAUGACUUCAGAUGAGGAUGAAAUAAAGAAUGGCAUUCUGGAUUUCCUCAAGAAUAUUUUUCAGACUCAACCUCAAAGAACAGUUAAUAUGGAGGGCAUGAAUUUUUCAACCAUUUCUGAAGAUUUGAGCUCUUGGUUAGAAACGGACAUUGAUGAGGAAGAAUGUGUGGCAACUAUAAAAAGUCUUGGAAAAAAUAAAGCCACAGGAAGAAUGUGUGGCUUUCCUGUAAGCUUCUAUCUUUUGUGUUGGGAUUUCAUUAAACAUGAAUUCUUAUAGUUAGUCUUAUGGGCUAAAUUGGAGGUGCUAGAUUAGCACUUAAGUGUUACAAUUCAAAAAAAAAAGUGUGGCAAAAACGUCAACACUAGUUCUCUCUCCUACGAGUUGCUAGCAUGUGAACUAGCAUGCUAGAUAGAUACGUCGUAUGAUUCAGCGCCUGAAAAACCACCUUUUCGCGGAAUGGUUCAGCGCUGAGAGAUUUAUUUUUGAAAUGACGGCUGAGAUUUAAAGCGCUGAACCAUUCAUCGCUUGGCGCUGAGUGGUUCAUCGAUGGUCGCUGAAUGAUUCAUCGCUGGGAUGACGUGGACUGCUAAUCUAGCUGCUAGAUUAGCACUCCCAAAAGACUUAGGAGGUAGCCCUGACUGCUAAUCUAGCUGCU